GGAGCUAUGGCUCAGUGGUUAAGAGCUCUGGCUGCUCUUUCUUCCAGAGGUCCUGAGUUCAAUUCCCAGCAACUACA
rnacentral:tRNA from 1 species